rnacentral:lncRNA from 1 species
AAAUCACUGUCCAAAACCUUUGUAGGAACUCUUUUCCAACCUUUUGGAGUUAAUUAGAACAAAAAAUAUGAAAAAAUAAAAAAAUAUUAUUGGGGGUUUUCGGGCUCCCUGAAAGUAAUACCCGGGUAUUAGGUUUUGGGGCUAUGGUAAGGUUUAAGUUUUUUGGCGUUAGGGUUAAAAUCACUGUCCAAAACCUUUGUAGGAACUCUUUUCCAACCUUUUGGUGUUAGUUAGACCAAAAAAAAAUGAAAAAUGAAAAAACAAUAUUUGGGGUUUUCGGGGUUCCUGAAUGUAAUACCCGGGUAUUAGAUUUUGAGGCUAGGGUAAGGUUUAAGUUUUUUGGCAUUAGGGUUAAAAUCACUGUCCAAAACCUUUGUAGGAACUCUUUUCCAACCUUUUGGAGUUGGUUACACCAACAAAAAUGUAAAAUGAAGAAAAAAAUAUUUGGGGUGUUCAGGCUUCCUGAAGGUAAUACCCGGGUAUUAGAUUUCAAGGCUAGGGUAAGGUUUAAGGUUUUUGGCGUUAGGGUUAAAAUCACUGUCCAAAACCUUUGUAGGAACUCUUUUCCAACCUUUUGGAGUUAGUUAGACCAAAAAAUAUGAAAAAAGAAAAAAAUAUUAUUGGGGGUUUUUGGGCUCCCUGAAAGUAAUACCCAUGUAUUAGGUUUUGGGGCUAUGGUAAGGUUUAAGUUUUUUGGCGUUAGGGUUAAAAUCACUGUCCAAAACCUUUGUAGGAACUCUUUUCCAACCUUUUGGAGUUAGUUAGAACAAAAAAUAUGAAAAAAGAAAAAAAUAUUAUUGGGGGUUUUCGGGCUCCCUGAAAGUAAUACCCGGGUAUUAGGUUUUGGGGCUAUGGUAAGGUUUAAGUUUUUUGGCGUUAGGGUUAAAAUCACUGUCCAAAACCUUUGUAGGAACUCUUUUCCAACCUUUUGGAGUUAGUUAGACCAAAAAAAAUGAAAAAUGAAAAAAACAAUAUUUGGGGUUUUCGGGGUUCCUGAAUGUAAUACCCGGGUAUUAGAUUUUAAGGCUAGGGUAAGGUUUAAGUUUUUUGGCAUUAGGGUUAAAAUCACUGUCCAAAACCUUUGUAGGAACUCUUUUCCAACCUUUUGGAGUUAGUUAGACCAAAAAGUAUGAAAAAAGAAAAAAAUAUUAUUGGGGGUUUUCGGGCUCCCUGAAAGUAAUACCCGGGUAUUAGGUUUUGGGGCUAUGGUAAGGUUUAAGUUUUUUGGCGUUAGGGUUAAAAUCACUGUCCAAAACCUUUGUAGGAACUCUUUUCCAACCUUUUGGUGUUAGUUAGACCAAAAAAAAAUGAAAAAUUAAAAAACAAUAUUUGGGGUUUUCGGGGUUCCUGAAUGUAAUACCCGGGUAUUAGAUUUUGAGGCUAGGGUAAGGUUUAAGUUUUUUGGCAUUAGGGUUAAAAUCACUGUCCAAAACCUUUGUAGGAACUCUUUUCCAACCUUUUGGAGUUGGUUACACCAACAAAAAUGUAAAAUGAAGAAAAAAAUAUUUGGGGUGUUCAGGCUUCCUGAAGGUAAUACCCGGGUAUUAGAUUUCAAGGCUAGGGUAAGGUUUAAGGUUUUUGGCGUUAGGGUUAAAAUCACUGUCCAAAACCUUUGUAGGAACUCUUUUCCAACCUUUUGGAGUUAGUUAGACCAAAAAAUAUGAAAAAAGAAAAAAAUAUUAUUGGGGGUUUUUGGGCUCCCUGAAAGUAAUACCCAUGUAUUAGGUUUUGGGACUAGGGAAAGGUUUAAGGGUUUUGGCAUUAGGGUUAAAAUCACUGUCCAAAACCUUUGUAGGAACUCUUUUCCAACCUUUUGCAGUUAGUUAGACCAAAAAAAAAAGAAAAAUGAAAAAAAAAUAUUUGGGGUGUUCAGGCUUCCUAAAAGUAAUACCCGGGUAUUAGGUUAUGGGGCUAUGGUAAGGUUUAACGUUUUGGCGUUAGGUUUAAAAUCACUGUCCAAAACCUUUGUAGGAACUCUUUAACAACCUUUUGGAUUUAGUUAGACCAAAAAAAAAAAUGAAAAAUUAAAAAAAAUAUAUUUGGGGUGUUCAGGCUUCCUAAAAGUAAUACCCGGGUAUUAGGUUAUGGGGCUAUGGUAAGGUUUAAGGUUUUUGGCGUUAGGGUUAAAAUCACUGUCCAAAACCUUUGUAGGAACUCUUUUCAAACCUUUUGGAGUUAGUUAGACCAAAAAGUAUGAAAAAAGAAAAAAAUAUUAUUGGGGGUUUUCAGGCUCCCUGAAAGUAAUACCCGGGUAUUAGGUUUUGGGGCUAUGGUAAGGUUUAAGUUUUUUGGCGUUAGGGUUAAAAUCACUGUCCAAAACCUUUGUAGGAACUCUUUUCCAACCUUUUGGAGUUAGUUAGACCAAAAAAAAAUGAAAAAUGAAAAAACAAUAUUUGGGGUUUUCGGGGUUCCUGAAUGUAAUACCCGGGUAUUAGAUUUUAAGGCUAGGGUAAGGUUUAAGUUUUUUGGCAUUAGGGUUAAAAUCACUGUCCAAAACCUUUGUAGGAACUCUUUUCCAACCUUUUGGAGUUAGUUAGACCAAAAAAAAAAUGAAAAAUGAAAAAACAAUAUUUGGGGUUUUCGGGGUUCCUGAAUGUAAUAUACGGGUAUUAGAUUUUAAGGCUAGGGUAAGGUUUAAGUUUUUUGGCAUCAGGGUUAAAAUCACUGUCCAAAACCUUUGUAGGAACUCUUUUCCAACCUUUUGGAGUUAGUUACACCAAAAAGUAUGAAAAAGGAAAAAAAUAUUAUUGGGGGUUUUCGGGCUCCCUGAAAGUAAUACCCGGGUAUUAGGUUAUGGGGCUAUGGUAAGGUUUAAGUUUUUUGGCGUUAGGGUUAAAAUCACUGUCCAAAACCUUUGUAGGAACUCUUUUCCAACCUUUUGGAGUUGGUUACACCAACAAAAAUGUAAAAUGAAGAAAAAAAUAUUUGGGGUGUUCAGGCUUCCUGAAGGUAAUACCCGGGUAUUAGAUUUCAAGGCUAGGGUAAGGUUUAAGGUUUUUGGCGUUAGGGUUAAAAUCACUGUCCAAAACCUUUGUAGGAACUCUUUUCCAACCUUUUGGAGUUAGUUAGACCAAAAAAUAUGAAAAAAGAAAAAAAUAUUAUUGGGGGUUUUUGGGCUCCCUGAAAGUAAUACCCAUGUAAUAGGUUUUGGGGCUAUGGUAAGGUUUAAGUUUUUUGGCGUUAGGGUUAAAAUCACUGUCCAAAACCUUUGUAGGAACUCUUUUCCAACCUUUUGGAGUUAGUUAGAACAAAAAAUAUGAAAAAAGAAAAAAAUAUUAUUGGGGGUUUUCGGGCUCCCUGAAAGUAAUACCCGGGUAUUAGGUUUUGGGGCUAGGGUAAGGUUUAAGUUUUUUUGCGUUAGGGUUAAAAUCACUGUCCAAAACCUUUGUAGGAACUCUUUUCCAACCUUUUGGAGUUAGUUAGACCAAAAAAAAAUGAAAAAUGAAAAAAACAAUAUUUGGGGUUUUCGGGGUUCCUGAAUGUAAUACCCGGGUAUUAGAUUUUAAGGCUAGGGUAAGGUUUAAGUUUUUUGGCAUUAGGGUUAAAAUCACUGUCCAAAACCUUUGUAGGAACUCUUUUCCAACCUUUUGGAGUUAGUUAGACCAAAAAGUAUGAAAAAAGAAAAAAAUAUUAUUGGGGGUUUUCGGGCUCCCUGAAAGUAAUACCCGGGUAUUAGGUUUUGGGGCUAUGGUAAGGUUUAAGUUUUUUGGCGUUAGGGUUAAAAUCACUGUCCAAAACCUUUGUAGGAACUCUUUUCCAACCUUUUGGUGUUAGUUAGACCAAAAAAAAAUGAAAAACUAAAAAACAAUAUUUGGGGUUUUCGGGGUUCCUGAAUGUAAUACCCGGGUAUUAGAUUUUGAGGCUAGGGUAAGGUUUAAGUUUUUUGGCAUUAGGGUUAAAAUCACUGUCCAAAACCUUUGUAGGAACUCUUUUCCAACCUUUUGGAGUUAGUUAGACCAAAAAAAAAAUGAAAAAUGAAAAAACAAUAUUUGGGGUUUUCGGGGUUCCUGAAUGUAAUAUACGGGUAUUAGAUUUUAAGGCUAGGGUAAGGUUUAAGUUUUUUGGCAUCAGGGUUAAAAUCACUGUCCAAAACCUUUGUAGGAACUCUUUUCCAACCUUUUGGAGUUAGUUACACCAAAAAGUAUGAAAAAGGAAAAAAAUAUUAUUGGGGGUUUUCGGGCUCCCUGAAAGUAAUACCCGGGUAUUAGGUUAUGGGGCUAUGGUAAGGUUUAAGUUUUUUGGCGUUAGGGUUAAAAUCACUGUCCAAAACCUUUGUAGGAACUCUUUUCCAACCUUUUGGAGUUGGUUACACCAACAAAAAUGUAAAAUGAAGAAAAAAAUAUUUGGGGUGUUCAGGCUUCCUGAAGGUAAUACCCGGGUAUUAGAUUUCAAGGCUAGGGUAAGGUUUAAGGUUUUUGGCGUUAGGGUUAAAAUCACUGUCCAAAACCUUUGUAGGAACUCUUUUCCAACCUUUUGGAGUUAGUUAGACCAAAAAAUAUGAAAAAAGAAAAAAAUAUUAUUGGGGGUUUUUGGGCUCCCUGAAAGUAAUACCCAUGUAUUAGGUUUUGGGGCUAUGGUAAGGUUUAAGUUUUUUGGCGUUAGGGUUAAAAUCACUGUCCAAAACCUUUGUAGGAACUCUUUUCCAACCUUUUGGAGUUAGUUAGAACAAAAAAUAUGAAAAAAGAAAAAAAUAUUAUUGGGGGUUUUCGGGCUCCCUGAAAGUAAUACCCGGGUAUUAGGUUUUGGGGCUAUGGUAAGGUUUAAGUUUUUUGGCGUUAGGGUUAAAAUCACUGUCCAAAACCUUUGUAGGAACUCUUUUCCAACCUUUUGGAGUUAGUUAGACCAAAAAAAAAUGAAAAAUGAAAAAAACAAUAUUUGGGGUUUUCGGGGUUCCUGAAUGUAAUACCCGGGUAUUAGAUUUUAAGGCUAGGGUAAGGUUUAAGUUUUUUGGCAUUAGGGUUAAAAUCACUGUCCAAAACCUUUGUAGGAACUCUUUUCCAACCUUUUGGAGUUAGUUAGACCAAAAAGUAUGAAAAAAGAAAAAAAUAUUAUUGGGGGUUUUCGGGCUCCCUGAAAGUAAUACCCGGGUAUUAGGUUUUGGGGCUAUGGUAAGGUUUAAGUUUUUUGGCGUUAGGGUUAAAAUCACUGUCCAAAACCUUUGUAGGAACUCUUUUCCAACCUUUUGGUGUUAGUUAGACCAAAAAAAAAAUGAAAAAUUAAAAAACAAUAUUUGGGGUUUUCGGGGUUCCUGAAUGUAAUACCCGGGUAUUAGAUUUUGAGGCUAGGGUAAGGUUUAAGUUUUUUGGCAUUAGGGUUAAAAUCACUGUCCAAAACCUUUGUAGGAACUCUUUUCCAACCUUUUGGAGUUGGUUACACCAACAAAAAUGUAAAAUGAAGAAAAAAAUAUUUGGGGUGUUCAGGCUUCCUGAAGGUAAUACCCGGGUAUUAGAUUUCAAGGCUAGGGUAAGGUUUAAGGUUUUUGGCGUUAGGGUUAAAAUCACUGUCCAAAACCUUUGUAGGAACUCUUUUCCAACCUUUUGGAGUUAGUUAGACCAAAAAAUAUGAAAAAAAAAAAAAUAUUAUUGGGGGUUUUUGGGCUCCCUGAA